GAUGAACGCUGGCGGCGUGCUUAAUACAUGCAAGUCGAACGGAAAGGCCCUGCUUUUGUUGGUUUCUCGAUUGGCGAACGGGGGAGUAACACGUGUGUAUCCUGCCCUUGACUGUGGGAUAACUUCUGGGAACUGGGGCUAAUACCGGGUAGGAGCUCUUGCUGCAUGGGGGGGAUUGGAAAGUUUCGGCGGUGGGGGAUGGACUCGCGGGUUAUGAGCUGGUUGGUGGGGUAGUGGCUUACCAAGGCUUUGACGGGUAGCCGGCCUGAGAGGGUGGACGGCCACAUUGGGACUGAGAUACGGCCCAGACUCCUACGGGAGGCAGCAGUGGGGAAUAUUGCACAAUGGGCGGAAGCCUGAUGCAGCAACGCCGCGUGCGGGAUGACGGCCUUCGGGUUGUAAACCGCUUUCGCCUGUGACGAAGCGUGAGUGACGGUAAUGGGUAAAGAAGCACCGGCUAACUACGUG
rnacentral:rRNA from 1 species